rnacentral:ncRNA from 1 species
AAUAUUCUUGAAUUUCUUUCACCUUAUUUAAAGUUAAAACAAAAACAAUCAGAAGUUGCUUUGUCAGUUUUAAAUAGAAUGCCAGGAUAUGGUAGAAAAAUGAGUGUUAAACUUCUACUCAAGCUUUCAAAAGAGGUAGAUAAGUUUUCUUUUCUCAAUUACUCAAAGAAGAGAACCAAUACCUCAGAGAAAGUUUAUAAAUAUUUAUUAUCAAAGCAUCUCUUGAAUCCCGUAGAGACUGAAUCCCAGGUCUAAGGUAGUCCUUAGACGUAAGAUGAGUAUGGUUUAACCAUACAAAUGUCAGCACCUGAAUCGUUAAAGACAAAGAUUCAGGAUGAAGAUAUAGUCCAUGCAAUCAGUAAUGGUUGAUUAACAUGCGUGAGACAGUUCGGACUCUAUCCGGUGGAAGCGUUGAGUCUUGAAGGGAGCUAGCCUCAGUACGAGAGGACCAGGCUGGAGGAAUCUCUGGUGUGCCGGUUGUGGCGUCAGCUGCAAGCCGGGUAGCUACAUUCCUAAGGGAUAACCGCUGAAAGCAUCUAAGUGGGAAGCCCACCCUAAGAUUAGGACUCGCGCCUUGUCCGUAGGACAAGACAGGUAAUAAAAAUUCAAUAUCCAAAUAGUCAAAUAUCUAAAUGGAAAUACAAGAAAAAUAAUCUUUAAAUUCAUUUGUUUAUUUGUAUAUUUGUUUAUUAAUUCAUUUAUCUUUCUCGCCCUGCGGGUGAGGUUUUAGACCCCUGGCAGAAUACCAGGUUAAUCGGCAGGAAGUGGAAGCUCCGUAAGGAGUUAAGCUUACCUUGCGCGAAUCGGUCGAUAGACUUAUUUUU